rnacentral:rRNA from 2 species
AAACUUUCAACAACGGAUCUCUUGGUUCUGGCAUCGAUGAAGAACGCAGCAAAAUGCGAUAAGUAAUGUGAAUUGCAGAAUUCAGUGAAUCAUCGAAUCUUUGAACGCACAUUGCGCCCCUUGGUAUUCCGAGGGGCAUGCCUGUUCGAGCGUCAUUU